rnacentral:rRNA from 1 species
UACGGGGGGGGCAAGCGUUGUUCGGAAUUACUGGGCGUAAAGGGCUCGUAGGUGGCCAACUAAGUCGGACGUGAAAUCCCUCAGCUUAACUGGGGAACUGCGUCCGAUACUGGAUGGCUUGAGAUUGGGAGAGGGAUGCGGAAUUCCAGGUGUAGCGGUGAAAUGCGUAGAUAUCUGGAGGAACACCGGUGGCGAAGGCGGCAUCCUGGACCAACACUGACGCUGAGGAGCGAAAGCCAGGGGAGCAAACGGG